rnacentral:rRNA from 1 species
AUUGAACGCUGGCGGCAGGCCUAACACAUGCAAGUCGAGCGGAGCGGCGGACGGGCGAGUAAUGCAUAGUCAUCAGCCUGGUAGUGGGGGACAACGUCCGGACACGGGCGCUAAUACCUCAUACUAUCAGUUGAGUUUUGAUCGGAUUGGCUAGUUGGUGGGGUAAAGGCUUACCCAGGCGACGAUCGGUACCUGGUCGGAGAGGAUGAUCAGUCACACUGGAACGGAGACACGGUCCAGACUCCUACGGGAGGCAGCAGGGGGGAAUAGUGGACAAUGGGCGAAAGCCGGAUGCGGCCAUGCCGCGUGUGUGAAGAAGGUCUUCGGGUUGAAAAGCACUGUAAGUUGGGAGGCGUUACCAACAGAAUAAGCACCGGCUAACUACGUGCCAGCAGCCGGGGUAAUAC